AAUAGAUACCCUGGUAGUCCACGCCGUAAACGAUGAGUGCUAAGUGUUAGGGGGUUUCCGCCCCUUAGUGCUGCAGCUAACGCAUUAAGCACUCCGCCUGGGGAGUACGGUCGCAAGACUGAAACUCAAAGGAAUUGACGGGGGCCCGCACAAGCGGUGGAGCAUGUGGUUUAAUUCGAAGCAACGCGAAGAACCUUACCAGGUCUUGACAUCCCACUGACCGCUAUGGAGACAUAGUUUUCCCUUCGGGGACAGUGGUGACAGGUGGUGCAUGGUUGUCGUCAGCUCGUGUCGUGAGAUGUUGGGUUAAGUCCCGCAACGAGCACAACCCUUGAUCUUAGUUGCCAUCAUUUAGUUGGGCACUCUAAGGUGACUGCCGGUGACAAACCGGAGGAAGGUGGGGAUGACGUCAAAUCAUCAUGCCCCUUAUGACCUGGGCUACACACGUGCUACAAUGGACGGUACAAACGGUUGCCAACCCGCGAGGGGAGCUAAUCCGAUAAAACCGUUCUCAGUUCGGAUUGUAGGCUGCAACUCGCCUAC
rnacentral:rRNA from 1 species